rnacentral:snRNA from 1 species
GUGCUUGCUUCACCAUCACAUAUACUAAAAACUGGAACAUACAGAGAAAAUUAGCAUGGCCCAUACACAA